rnacentral:rRNA from 1 species
GGAGGUUGUUCCCUUGAGGAGUGGCUUCCGGAGCUAACGCGUUAAGUCGACCGCCUGGGGAGUACGGCCGCAAGGUUAAAACUCAAAUGAAUUGACGGGGGCCCGCACAAGCGGUGGAGCAUGUGGUUUAAUUCGAUGCAACGCGAAGAACCUUACCUACUCUUGACAUCCACGGAAUUCGGCAGAGAUGCCUUAGUGCCUUCGGGAACCGUGAGACAGGUGCUGCAUGGCUGUCGUCAGCUCGUGUUGUGAAAUGUUGGGUUAAGUCCCGCAACGAGCGCAACCCUUAUCCUUUGUUGCCAGCGCGUGAUGGCGGGAACUCAAAGGAGACUGCCGGUGAUAAACCGGAGGAAGGUGGGGAUGACGUCAAGUCAUCAUGGCCCUUACGAGUAGGGCUACACACGUGCUACAAUGGCGCAUACAAAGAGAAGCGACCUCGCGAGAGCAAGCGGACCUCACAAAGUGCGUCGUAGUCCGGAUCGGAGUCUGCAACUCGACUCCGUGAAGUCGGAAUCGCUAGUAAUCGUGGAUCAGAAUGCCACGGUGAAUACGUUCCCGGGCCUUGUACACACCGCCCGUCACACCAUGGGAGUGGGUUGCA